CCCUUAGAUGUUCUGGGCCGCACGCGCGCUACAAUGGUCUUCGCAAACGGAUGCAUUCUCGAAGGAGAAUGCCAAUCUUGGAAUCUAUGCCUUGGUCGGGACAGUUGCUUGCAAUUUUUCGACUCGAACCAGGAAUUCCUUGUAAUCGUGAUUCAUCACAUCACGAUGAAUACGUCCCUGCCCUUUGUACACACCGCCUGUCGCUCCUACCGAUCGAAGAGUUAGGUGAAUUGUUUUGAUCGAUAAGAUUUGACUAUGGUCAACUCUCGUUGUGAAAUUCUGUGAAUCUGACUGUUUAGAGGAAGGAAAAGUCGUAACA
rnacentral:rRNA from 1 species